rnacentral:rRNA from 1 species
GUGAAAUUAGGGACAGCGGGCGCGGUAAUGAGUUGGGACUGAGCGUGGGCCAGAAUGAUGUGGCGUGAAGGGCGGGUGUGCGGGCCCUUAAGGCCUGGGUGAAAUCCCGCGGCUCAACCGCAGACGGUCGUGGGAAACGGGAGGGCUAGAGUGCGGGAGAGGAGAGUGGAAUUCCCGGUGUAGCGGUGAAAUGCGCAGAUAUCGGGAAGAACACCCGUGGCGAAGGCGGCUCUCUGGAACGCAACUGACGCUGAGACGCGAAAGCGUGGGGAGCAAACAGGAUUAGAUACCCUGGUAGUC